rnacentral:rRNA from 1 species
CCGAGUUAUACAACUCAUCAACCCUGUGAACAUACCUAAAACGUUGCUUCGGCGGGAACAGACGGCCCUGUAACAACGGGCCGCCCCCGCCAGAGGACCCCUAACUCUGUUUUUAUAAUGUUUUUCUGAGUAAACAAGCAAAUAAAUUAAAACUUUCAACAACGGAUCUCUUGGCUCUGGCAUCGAUGAAGAACGCAGCGAAAUGCGAUAAGUAAUGUGAAUUGCAGAAUUCAGUGAAUCAUCGAAUCUUUGAACGCACAUUGCGCCCGCCAGUAUUCUGGCGGGCAUGCCUGUUCGAGCGUCAUUACAACCCUCAGGCCCCCGGGCCUGGCGUUGGGGAUCGGCGGAAGCCCCCUGUGGGCACACGCCGUCCCUCAAAUACAGUGGCGGUCCCGCCGCAGCUUCCAUUGCGUAGUAGCUAACACCUCGCAACUGGAGAGCGGCGCGGCCAUGCCGUAAAACACCCAACUUCUGAAUGUUGACCUCGAAUCAGGUAGGAAUACCCGCUGAACUUAGCAU